UGUGUCCUGUUAAGAGACCAGUGUUGAUCAGUGUGUGUCCAGGUCUUUCAGCGGCAGCACCAUGAUGAUGUCUCUGACUCUACUGCUGGCCACCCUGGGGCUCCUUGUUCAGGGUUCAUCAGGUCAAAUCACUGUGACUCAGACUCCUGGAGCUUUGUCUGUUGCUGCACAACAGACUGUUACUAUUAAGUGUAAAACCAGUUCAAGUGUUGGUAGCUACCUUCACUGGUACCUUCAGAAACCAGGAGAAGCUCCUCGACUUCUUGUUAGAUCCUCUACAACCCGUCAGUCUGGAGUCUCUGAUCGUUUCAGUGGAAGUGGAUCUGGUACUGACUUCACUCUAACCAUUAACAGAGUUCAAGGUGAAGAUGCAGGAGAUUAUUACUGUCAGCAGAGUUACAGCCUCCCGUUCACACAGUGAAACAACGUCGUACAAAAACCUCCUCAGCUGAAGAGGAACUGAUCUGAACCAACAUCUGCACAAACACUUAAAACACUUUAAAGUUUGACAAGUACUAAAGUUACACUUCACAGGGUUUUCACUAUUUUAUCUAUUAUUAUAUUGUU